UACGUAGGGUGCAAGCGUUAAUCGGAAUUACUGGGCGUAAAGCGUGCGCAGGCGGUUGUGCAAGACCGAUGUGAAAUCCCCGGGCUCAACCUGGGAAUGGCAUUGGUGACUGUACGGCUAGAGUGUGUCAGAGGGGGGGUAGAAUUCCACGUGUAGCAGUGAAAUGCGUAGAGAUGUGGAGGAAUACCGAUGGCGAAGGCAGCCCCCUGGGAUAACACUGACGCCUCAUGCACGAAAGCAUGGGGGAGCAAACAGG
rnacentral:rRNA from 1 species